rnacentral:rRNA from 1 species
UAGCGUAGGGGGCGAGCGUUGUCCGGAGUUACUGGGCGUAAAGCGCACGCAGGCGGUUCCGUUAAGUUUGGAGUGACAGUUGGUGGCUCAAACCACCAAAGUGCUUUGAAAACUGGCAGACUUGAGGGCUUCAGAGGGACACGGAAUCCGGGUGGAGUGGUGAAAUGCGUAGAGAUCCGGAGGAACACCGGAAGGCGAAGGCAGUGUCCUGGGGAGUACCUGACGCGUCAGGUGCGGAAAGCCCAGGGGAGCGAACGGGG